rnacentral:rRNA from 1 species
AACGAACGCUGGCGGCAGGCCUAACACAUGCAAGUCGAACGCUCCGCAAGGAGAGUGGCAGACGGGUGAGUAACACGUGGGAAUCUUCCUAUCGGUGGGGAAUAGCUCAGGGAAACUUGGGGUAAUACCGCAUACGCCCGUAAGGGGAAAGAUUUAUCGCCGAUAGAUGAGCCCGCGUCUGAUUAGCUAGUUGGUGGGGUAAUGGCCCACCAAGGCGACGAUCAGUAGCUGGUUUGAGAGAAUGACCAGCCACACUGGGACUGAGACACGGCCCAGACUCCUACGGGAGGCAGCAGUGGGGAAUCUUGGACAAUGGGCGCAAGCCUGAUCCAGCCAUGCCGCGUGAGUGACGAAGGUCUUCGGAUUGUAAAGCUCUUUUAGCAGGGACGAUAAUGACGGUACCUGCAGAAUAAGCCCCGGCUAACUUCGUGCCAGCCGCCGCCGUAA